rnacentral:rRNA from 1 species
GAUGAACGCUAGCGGGAGGCCUAACACAUGCAAGCCGAGCGGUAUUUUUUUUUCGGGAGAGAGAGAGCGGCGUACGGGUGCGGAACACGUGUGCAACCUGCCUUUAUUUAGAGGAUAGCCUUUUGAAAGGAAGAUUAAUACUCUAUAAUAUAUUAAUUGGCAUCAAUUGAUAUUGAAAACUCCGGUGGAUAGAGAUGGGCACGCGCAAGAUUAGCUAGUUGGUGAGGUAACGGCUCACCAAGGCAAUGAUCUUUAGGGGGCCUGAGAGGGUGAUUCCCCACACUGGUACUGAGACACGGACCAGACUCCUACGGGAGGCAGCAGUGAGGAAUAUUGGUCAAUGGGUGCAAGCCUGAACCAGCCAUCCCGCGUGAAGGAUUAAGGUCCUAUGGAUUGUAAACUUUUUUUGUAUAGGGAUAAACCUACCCUCGUGAGGGUAGGUGAAGGUACUAUACGAAUAAGCACCGGCUAACUCCGUG